UACUGUAUGCCUCAUAUAGCUUUGAUACCACUUGUUAUGCUAAACAGAAUAAGGAAAAAAAAAUGAAAGAGAUAAUAAUUGAGGAGUAGCAAAGAUCAAAAGAAAACACUUUAUUCACUUCUUGGUGAUGAUCUUGGAUACAACCAUAAAGGUUAUUUCUAAACCCCCAUAACCUGUAGCCUGAGUAAAUUACUGGCUCCCAAAAUAGAAAAUA
rnacentral:lncRNA from 1 species